UUUGUACUCCCUCCGUCCCAAAAUUCUUGUCUUAAAUUUGUCUAAAUACGGAUGUAUCUAGUUACAUUUUAGUGUUAGAUACAUCCGUAUCUAAACAAAUGUAAGACAAGAAUUUUGGAACGGAGGGAAUACUAC
rnacentral:pre_miRNA from 1 species